rnacentral:rRNA from 1 species
UACGAAGGGGGCUAGCGUUGCUCGGAAUCACUGGGCGUAAAGGGUGCGUAGGCGGGUUUCUAAGUCAGAGGUGAAAUCCUGGAGCUCAACUCCAGAACUGCCUUUGAUACUGGAAGUCUUGAGUACGGGAGAGGUGAGUGGAACUGCGAGUGUAGAGGUGAAAUUCGUAGAUAUUCGCAAGAACACCAGUGGCGAAGGCGGCUCACUGGCCCAUUACUGACGCUGAGGCACGAAAGCGUGGGGAGCAAACAGG